ensembl:rRNA 5S_rRNA 5S ribosomal RNA
GUCUAUAGCCAUAUUACCCUGAACAAGCCCGAUCCCGUCUGAUCUCAGAAGCUAAGCAGGGUCAGGCCUGGUUAGUGCUUGGAUGGUUGGAUGGGAGACCAGCUAGGGAGACUAGGUGCUGUAGGCA